GACGUAGGGCGCGAGCGUUGUCCGGAUUUAUUGGGCGUAAAGAGCUCGUAGGCGGUCUGUCGCGUCGGCUGUGAAAACCUGAGGCUCAACCUCGGGCCUGCAGUCGAUACGGGCAGACUAGAGUUCGGUAGGGGAGACUGGAAUUCCUGGUGUAGCGGUGGAAUGCGCAGAUAUCAGGAGGAACACCGGUGGCGAAGGCGGGUCUCUGGGCCGAAACUGACGCUGAGGAGCGAAAGCGUGGGGAGCGAACAGG
rnacentral:rRNA from 1 species